rnacentral:tRNA from 1 species
UACAUUUUAGUAUAGAGUGUACAUGAAUUUUUGGAGUUCAAGGGAGUAAUUAGUUUUAUUAAAUGUAA